rnacentral:sRNA from 1 species
UUUUAUAUUAAGAAAACAGUCGAAGCCCUCAUGAAAUUCCAACUUUUUGAAGACAGAUCACAGACGCACAGAAAAUGAAAAAUGAAACAAGGCAAGCGCCAAGAAUUAAAAAAAAAAUACGUUAAUAAUUCUUCUAUAGACAUUGAUGUGAUCGUGUGCAUAUGGCACAACAUUCAGUUGUUUAAGAUUACUCAAAGCGUCAACACAACACUGUUGGUUUUUGGAUAUUCUCCAUCGGAAGAACAUUUUGCUCUAAGAUAUCAAGAAUUCCUCCCUCAUUUCUGUGUUAGCCUAAAACGAUCAAAUCAUUAGCAAUUCAUUGCUGCAACGCUCUUUAUUUAGCAAUUGCUUGAGGCUGCGAUGAAGUUACGUCUAAUGCUGCUCAUUGUGCUGUUCGAGUUGCUAAUGACGCAUCAUGUCCAUUUAACUCAAGCCGGGCCCAUACUAGGACUACAAACAGAAUUCGAUGACAACUCCAAGGUACAGGGCAGAACCAAACCUAUAUUGGUGUACUGCGAUGAAAUUGGAAACCACUUGAACUGUAUGCUUUUCUGCAAAAAUUUGGGCCACACAUCUGGACAUUGUGGCGGUGAUUUCACUUGUAAUUGUUUUUAAAUGUUUGAUAAUUUUAAAUAGAAUAAGGUAAACUAGAUAUAAUACUAUUUUAAACGACAGUAUCCAUAAUUCUUAUUAACUAAAUGAAAUUAAUCAUUCAAAUCAUCAAAAAAUAAACAAAAAGUGAUUUCUAAUUUAAA